GAUGAACGCUAGCGGCAGGCUUAACACAUGCAAGUCGAGGGGUAUAGUAGCAAUACUAGAGACCGGCGCACGGGUGCGUAACGCGUAUGCAACCUACCUUUUACAGAGGGAUAGCCCCAGAGAAAUUUGGAUUAAAUACCUCAUAGUGUUAUUAGAUGGCAUCAUUUGAUAACUAAAGUUCCAACGGUAAAGAUGGGCAUGCGUCCUAUUAGCUAGAUGGUAAGGUAACGGCUUACCAUGGCUACGAUAGGUAGGGGUCCUGAGAGGGAGAU
rnacentral:rRNA from 1 species